CGAACUCCACUAAAAUUCACAUUCUAGUUCCAUCGAAGUCCAAAUUCCGGCAUUUCCCCAACCAGUGACUUCUUUUGAAAUCUUCAAGAAUAAUGUUAUCUUCUUUUCGCCGUUCAGUGUUUCAGACAAGAAGAUUCAAUGGAGGUAAUAGUAAUUCAACAACUGUUUCUCUUAUUAGGUUUAGAUAUCUUUUUGUUCAUAACAUCCAUUCUUCUUCAUCUUCUUCGUUUGUAGUCAAUUACUUAAUCAAUUCAUGUGGAUUAUCUGAACAUCAAGCUGCUACUGCUUCUUAAACUGUCAAUUUCAAAACAUUAUCAAACCCAGAUUCAGUUUUAGACCUACUUGAAAACUACGGAUUCACUAAACCUUACAUUUCCAAACUCAUUACUUGGUAUCCAAAAAUUCUAAAAUCGAAUGUUCAGAAAACCCUAAAACCCAAAUUCGAUUUUUUCAAAUCUAAAGGACUUUCUGGAACUGACCUUGCGGAGUUCUUCCUCUCUUGCAGCCCAAUAGUCCUUAAGACGAGCUUACAAGGCCAAAUAAUUCCUUGUUGUGAUACCCUGAAAAACAUUGUUCAGUUUGACAAGAACGUUUUUGUAAUUAUCAGAUGCCAUUCAUGGCUUCUUACCGGAAAUAUAUAUCUACAAAACUUGAUGGUCAACAUUGAGCUUUUGAGAGAUGAAGGUAUCCCUCAAUCCAAUUUUUCGAACUUUCUUACGAACCAACCAAGUUCACUUACAAUCAGCACCACUAAAUUUGAGGAGAUUGUGCACCAGAUUAAGGGUAUGGGUUUUGAUCCUUCACAAACUAAAUUUCUUAAUGGUCUCCAGGGAUUGACAGCCAUGACCAAACCCACCUGGGAAAUAAAAGUGAAUGCUUACAGGAAAUGGGGUUGGACAGAAGACGACAUUCAAAAUGCAUUUAGGAAGCAUCCUCAGUGCAUGAUGCAUUCUGAAAAGAAGAUAAUGUCAACAAUGGAUUUCCUUGUGAAUCAAAUGGGUUAUAAUCCUUCAUUUAUGGCCAAAUGCCCAGCUAAUAUUAGUUAUAGCUUGGAGAAGAGGAUUAUGCCUAGGUGUUCUGUUUACAAAAUUCUAACUUCCAAAGGUCUGGUUAAGAAUCAGAUUUCCUUAUCUUGGCUUAUGCAAAUGGGUAAUGAGUCAUUUUUGGAGAAGUUUGAGAUCAAGUUUGUGGUAGACGCUCCGGAACUACUGAAGCUGUACCCAAGUGCAGUUAGAUAUAAGCUACCUAGGAGUACUUCUGGGGGAUGUUGACAGAUAUAUAGGGUGUAGCUUGUCUCAAUCAAGGUGCUGCAGUGGCUCCGAAAUGAUGCUAGGCAAUUCAGGGGGCUGGUUCUCAGAUUCUCCAGCAGUCAAAUCCAUUGGCAGCAGAAGCUCUCAGUUUCCGGCUUGGAACUCAGUGGGCAGUCAAAAAAGGUUAUAGUAAAGUAGCUUGAAGGCGAUUCUCAACAGGUGGUGCACAAUCUUAUCAAUAAAGCAAAGGCAAAUCCCCUGGAUAAUUUAGGAUCUUAUAGGUGAUAUUCUUGAAACCCCUUGCACAUGUUUAAGAAUAUUCAACCAAAUAUGUCAGCAAAAGAUGCAAUCGGAGGAUCAGAGGAAUACUCUCUAUGUCCACAUGAGUAUACAAUGGAAAAUGGACCUCCUACCCAAAAAGGAUCAUCUUCUUCAUCAACACCAACAACCCAUGAUCAUCAUGAUCACCACCAAAAUGAUCAGCUGAUAAAAGUUGAAGAGUUUGGAUGUCAACUAGAAAACUUGAAACCCCAAUAAGAUCUUUAGUUGCAAACCAAUGAUACACCAACCAAAAGGAACUUAUGUAUUAUGUAUGGAAGGUAUUGAUAUUUCUAAAUGAUGAACCAGUGAGAUUUGAUGUGUUUGUUGCAAAACCCCAAGCAGCAGGAGGAGGAGAUGGAGAUGAAGCUGCUGGUCCUGAUGAAUUUGAUCAAUUUGCUGGGAGUCUAGUUGAUUUAGCUGGAUCAAGAAGUGGUAGUGGAACAAAAAAGAUGAGACCUUGGGAUUAGUUAUUUACUCAAGGAUAUUGGGGCAACAGAUUGUGAUAAUCUGUUUAUCAUAUUGAAGCCAAGAUCUGGUGAAGUUAUUGUCAGUAGUGUACGUGUGGAGUAUGUGUUACAUGUUGAAGGCUAAUUCAUGGCCGAUCGCCUCAUUAGUCAUUGUGCAUCAAUUCUGUAUUUCAUUCCAGAUACCAUCUAGUGCUGUCGCCGUUGGUAGUGUUUUUGGUUAUUGAGCGAAAACAGUUUAGAUCUGUAUUUCCUCUUCUUGUAUAUGCGAGUUUUACAGUGGAUCCAUUUUGUUUUAUUUUUGAGUUAAUAGAAGAAUGGCAUUAGUUUGA